UACCCGCGGCAAGACGGAAAGACCCCGUGAACCUUUACUAUAGCUUGACACUGAACAUUGAGCCUUGAUGUGUAGGAUAGGUGGGAGGCUUUGAAGCGUGGACGCCAGUCUGCGUGGAGCCGACCUUGAAAUACCACCCUUUAAUGUUUGAUGUUCUAACGUGGAUCCGUAAUCCGGGUUGCGGACAGUGUCUGGUGGGUAGUUUGACUGGGGCGGUCUCCUCCUAAAGAGUAACGGAGGAGCACGAAGGUUGGCUAAUCCUGGUCGGACAUCAGGAGGUUAGUGCAAUGGCAUAAGCCAGCUUGACUGCGAGCGUGACGGCGCGAGCAGGUGCGAAAGCAGGUCAUAGUGAUCCGGUGGUUCUGAAUGGAAGGGCCAUCGCUCAACGGAUAAAAGGUACUCCGGGGAUAACAGGCUGAUACCGCCCAAGAGUUCAUAUCGACGGCGGUGUUUGGCACCUCGAUGUCGGCUCAUCACAUCCUGGGGCUGAAGUAGGUCCCAAGGGUAUGGCUGUUCGCCAUUUAAAGUGGUACGCGAGCUGGGUUUAGAACGUCGUGAGACAGUUCGGUCCCUAUCUGCCGUGGGCGCUGGAGAACUGAGGGGGGCUGCUCCUAGUACGAGAGGACCGGAGUGGACGCAUCACUGGUGUUCGGGUUGUCAUGCCAAUGGCACUGCCCGGUAGCUAAAUGCGGAAGAGAUAAGUGCUGAAAGCAUCUAAGCACGAAACUUGCCCCGAGAUGAGUUCUCCCUGAGACUUAGAGUCUCCUGAAGGAACGUUGAAGACGACGACGUUGAUAGGCCGGGUGUGUAAGCGCAGCGAUGCGUUGAGCUAACCGGUACUAAUGAACCGUGAGGCUUAACCUUACAACGCCGAAG
rnacentral:rRNA from 1 species